rnacentral:rRNA from 1 species
AAGGUUUCCAGCUUGUCUGGGUUAGGACUUUGAAGAUGUGGGGUCCAAUGAGAAUUAGGUUGUAGCUCCAGCGUUGGAAAAAACAGCUAUGCUUGAGAGUUUUUUUUUAAUGCGACAAUAGGGAUUCCAUAGAAGAAGAAAAAAAGUUGGUUUAACCCAGGACGCGAAUGCAUAACCAUAACUAAGACUUCUUUUCGAGUCAGAGAAAAGGACAGCGGGGUUGGUUUUAUGAGGGGUUAGAGAAACUCUAAUUAAAAAGAAGGGGGCUUUAACUAAAACAUCAUUUUUAGAUAUCCCAGAAGAGCAGAAAAUUUGGUUAAAAACGAAAAAAUGUUUUUUAUUUUAAGUUAAAGAGGGGACCUCUGUCGAAUUUGGAGUAACUUAGCAAGUAAGGUCGGUAGUUAAUUUUCUGAUAACUAAUACGAUGGAAGCGUGCCAGUCCUAUGGCGCCGAGAA